CUGGGCUGGAGGUGUAUUCUGUAUUACUUGAACACAGUAAUGAAACGAGCACUCCUGUAUCAUUAAAAGAACUAGGGAAUUGAGAAUGGCCUUGUGCCAGGAGCAUAUUGAAUAUCAAGACAAAAGUAUGACUGAGGAAUGAAAAAGAACUAAAGGAUGGACAGGUAGAAGGUCAAAUAGG